CCCCAGAAGCCCCGCCCCCAGAAGCCCCGCCCCCGAGUCCCGCGAUCCUGGCGGGACUCGCUGGUUCGCGCCGGGGUAGUUGUAGAGCCGUGGAGGCGGGGAGGCGGGCGGCCUCUUUCCCCGUGUCCUCAUCGUCCUGCAGAAGCCUCAGAAUUUACCUGAUUAUUUGGCUCAAAUUUAUCAAAAUUGGGAGGCUGCGCUUUCUGGGGGGCUGGGGAAGAGCGGAGUUUGGGAGGCCUGGGGGGCGCGUUCUGGCUCCGCCCCUCCGCGCUCCGGACCCUGGCGGGCUUUUUCUUUUUUUUUAAUCUUUUAAAAAUCUUAAAAUCUUUUUAAAAUUUCAUUUAUUUAUUCAUGAGAGACACAGAGAGAGAGAGAGAGGCAGAGACACAGGCAGAGGGAGAAGCAGGCGCCACGCAGGGAGCCCGAUGCGGGAUUCGAUCCCGAGACCCCAGGGUCACGCCCUGGGCCGCAGGUGGCGCCAAACCGCUGAGCCCCCCGGGCAUCCCCAGCCUGGCGGGCUUUUUCAUCUCCAAUUUCGCGUCGGGGAGGGAGGUGAGCGGAGAGGCUGGGCGUCCAGCCCCGCAGCGCGUCCUCGUGAUGGUGACCUACCGGUCCUCUUCGAGAUCAGAAUCCAGUACCGCUCGUAACCGGGGUCUGUGUUUAUUAGCGUGUCCUGUUCUUAACCAAACUGGCCACUUCAGCCGGAGAUUAUUGUUCCAAGCUCUUUGACAAAAAAGGUAGCUUCUAAAAUUGUAAGUAAAGUCAGCACAUUUGUUUGGCUACUAAACCCUAUGUGUGCUUUAUUUCAGCAAGUAAAACUUACAAGAAUGCAUUCUUACCAUGUCUGUCUAAGACACAUUGAGGCAGUGAAGUUCGAAGGUGUUAUGUUCCUGUAGAUUUCUAUUAUACUAAAAAUCCUUGAAGCAUGAGAAGUGUGUAGCCAUACUGAUUUUCUCUCAGCAUGCGAUGCAGAAUUUAUAUACUCUAUUUCACUCUCAUAAAAGAAAAUCUAUCGCUAAAAAUAAUGGUCCUGCACAAAUUAUAUAUUGAAAAUGAUCAAAUACCUCCUUUUAAAAUUCCUACUUUUUAUAUGACAUAAAAAUAUAAAUUAAGAAACCAGAGUUUGAAGAAAAAUGGUUAAAAUUGUCCUGGCUUUUAGCACCAGUUUUUAUUUUGCUAUGUAUUUUACAUAACUUGAAUUAAAUCCAAUUUUGAGGCAAUAAGGUGUCUAUUUAAUUGCAUAUUUUUAUUAAAAUAUUUUUAAAACUUUUCAGAAAGUCCUCUAAAUUAUAUAUUUCUAUAAUCCAUUCAUUUGGUACUUCUUGUAGACUUACCAUGCAUAGGAUAUGGGGGACCAAGAUGUAUAAGGAACACAUAAUUAACAUGUAUCAAAUUUAUAUAUUCAAAGCAUUUGCCAAGUACUUUUUAAUCAUAUCUUAUUUUACAGUAGCUCUGAAAUGUAGACAUUCCCAUUACGCUGAUUUUGGCAGCUCCUCCCAUCAAGUGCUUCCAUGACUUGAAUCUAAACUUCACUUUUGAUUAGCUUCUGGUCAACAGGGUGCAGUAGAAUUGACUAUCAUUUCUGAGCUCAGUCUCUAGGAAAUCUUUCACUUGCUUUCUCUUGGCAUUCUAUUCUCACAGAUAGCUCCGGUUAGCUUACUGGAGGAUGAGAAAUUACAUGGAAAGAGCCAGUUGUCCUACCUGAGGCUAUCAUAGAUCAUCUUGCCAGCCAACUACCAAACAUGGGAAGGAACCCAGCCAAGAUAAGAAAGCUGCACCCUUGAUACAAGUCUCAUUACAGAUAUGUAAGUAAGCCCAGCCAAGCCCAAAAGAACCACCUUGCUUACUCAAGAUUUAAGAGAAAUAGAACUUUAAGUCAAUAAUAAAGCUAUAAUAAAUAAUACA
rnacentral:lncRNA from 12 species